GUAGAUGUUGGUGAUGAGAGGGAAGUGAGUAAAGCUAAAGAUGCAGAUAGCGAUGAGAAAGAAGACUAUAGUCAUAGAGUAGCAACAAGCCGGAGAAUCACAAUAAUUGAAAGUGGGUCAGAGAGAUCUGAGGACCAGCAUUAUCCUGACAAUGAGGAUGAGGAGGUUGAUCAGGCCAGAAGUCCAAGUAAAUCACCUGAUGGGGAGAAGGA
rnacentral:misc_RNA from 1 species